rnacentral:rRNA from 1 species
AAGUCUGGUGCCAGCAGCCGCGGUAAUUCCAGCUCCAAUAGCGUAUAUUAAAAUUGUUGCGUCUAAAAAGCUCGUAGUUUGAAAACUUGCCUUAGCUUACAAUCGACCCUUUCAGGGUCACCGUUUGUUGGGAGCAAAUAUGGAUGAUUGUAUUUGCCGACUUCAUUGUUUGGCUUAUAAACGUCAUCAAAUAUCACUUUGAUUAAAUUAGAGUGCUUAAAGCAAGUGUGUUACUUGGAUAUAAAUGCAUGGAAUGAUGGAAUAUGUUGUUGUUCUAUUUGUUGGUUUUUUGAACGAUGAAAUGAUUGAAAGGAACUGUUGGGGGCAUUCGUAUUGUUGUGAGAGAGGUGAAAUUCUUAGACCACAGCAAGACGAACUACUGCGAAAGCAUUUGCCAAGAAUGUUUUCAUUGAUCAAGAACGAAAGUUAGAGGUUCGAAGGCGAUCAGAUACCGCCCUAGUUCUAACCAUAA